GCUAAAUAUGUGAGUGGAUGGACAGAUGGACAGAUGGAUGGGGGGGUGGAUGAACAAACAGGUAGAUGGGGCUGUAAGGAAACUUGGAACCGGUUCUUGGAACUGACACACUUCUCCGGACUAGAAGUGUGACUCGGGUGAGGUGCCUGGGGCCACAGAGGAGGAGUGGAGACAGGCCUUCUCCUGAGUGUGCUAAAGCGUAGGCGCCUCAUCACAGCCUGUCCACACCUGAUGAGCUACACUGCAUCUGAGGAUGAAUGCCGACAACAGCACCUUUCCCGCCCCCAUGUAUUCAGUCAAGGAGCUCCUAGGAGGCAUCACCGAGGUCCCGGACCACCUAGCACAGAACAGCAGCUGUGUCCCCAAGAUAGAAACUGGGGUAAGGAACAGUCAGCCAACAAGAAAAGGCGGCAUUGGACAUUCCUGUGGCCUGAGUCACUUCCGGAUGAGACAGUUCUGCAGGGGAUGCUGGGGACAGAGGGUGCCCUGUCCUUGCUCUGGGCAGCUGAACCCCCACACCGACUACCUGCCCUCUGGUUUCAGACAGAAAUACAAGAGGAUCUAAGUGGCCCUGCUGGAGAAGCUGCAGAGGAGCCUGUCCACCAGAAGGGGCUGAAGGUCCCCUGCAUCCCAGGCUUAGGCAUGGUCCCAAGAAGAGCCCUGAUCAGGGAUGGCUCAAACACCGGCCUGACCCUCCUCCCACAGGCCUGUGUCGAAGGCAGCCAAGGACUGCGAUCCAGCAGAGAACUGAGUUAUUUUUAUGUGACUUUAAAAUGA
rnacentral:lncRNA from 1 species